UGACAAAGGGAAGCUCUUUCAAAAGCUGAGACCUUAACAGCAGGCAAGUUGCAGACUGCUGCUGAGACUAAAGAUGACCACAGUAUUCUGGUACACAUUAAGGACAAAGACUGUGUGGCUCUGGAGGUGCAGUACCACAAGAGCUGCUACCAGCAGUACACCAGAUUUCUGAAUGAGCCUGCUAGACAAGAGAAGGACAAGUCAUUGCCUGGAUGCUGACCCCUGCCUUUUUGCACCGUGCCACAGGACUUUUAUAUAUAUA